AGGACAUGCCAAGCUGUUUCAACCUCUGUGCCUGAGAACCUGCUGUUUCUUCUUAUCUGCACAUUUCCCUACUUGUCAUAUGGCUGGCUCCUUGUCAUCACUCAGAUCUCACAGUAUCGCAUCAGAAGAUUUAUCUACAAAAUAUGCAUGAAUAAAGAGAGGAAAUUCUUGAAUACACAGAGAUUGAAGACAGGAAAAAUCUGAGCCAGAUAUUGUUGGUUGCAUCAUGGAUCCAGAAUCUGCAGAUACAGAGGCCAACUGUCCUUUUCAUUUCCCUAUGUUCUUCAGCUUACCUUCACAUGGUAGAUGCCCAGGAAAGACCCUGAAACUUAUGAAAGUUGGCAGAUUCUAAAAUCCACAUGGAAAAACAAAGGAUCCAGAAGAACAAACAAAAAACACUGAUAAAGAAGAACAAAACUGGAAGUCUUAUACAUCCUGCUUUUCAACUUCACUGCAAAGCUACAGUAAUGAAGGCAGCCUGCUACUGGCAUAAGAAGAGACACAUAGAUCAAUGAAGUAAAAUUGACAGCUCAGAAAUGAACCCUUACAUGUAUAGUUAAUUGAUUUUCAACAAGAAUGCUUAGACUAUUAAAUGAAGUAAAAUGGUCUUUUCUUCAACAAAUAAUGCCAGGAC
rnacentral:lncRNA from 1 species